AGAGUUUGAUCCUGGCUCAGAAUGAACGUUGGCGGCGUGCUUAACACAUGCAAGUCGAGCGAGAAAGCUCCUUCGGGAGUGAGUACAGCGGCGGACGGGUGUGGAACGCGUGAGUAUCUGCCCUUUAGUGAAGAAUACCCUUGAGAAAUUGAGGUUAAUACUGCAUAUUCCCUGCGGGGGAAAGGUGGCUUUAUGCUGCCGCUAGAGGAUGAGCUUGCGUGCUAUUAGCUUGUUGGUGGGGUAAAGGCCUACCAAGGCGAUGAUGGCUAGCCGGCCUGAGAGGGUGUACGGCCACAUUGGGACUGAGAUACGGCCCAGACUCCUACGGGAGGCAGCAGUGAGGAAUAUUGCGCAAUGGGCGAAAGCCUGACGCAGCGACGCCGCGUGGAGGAUGACGGUUUUCGGAUUGUAAACUCCUGUUAAGUGGGAAGAAAGUCCUGUCUCUAAUAUAGGCGGGAUAUGACGGUACCACUAGAGAAAGCACCGGCUAACUUCGUGCCAGCAGCCGCGGUAAUACGAGGGGUGCAAACGUUAUUCGGAUUUACUGGGCGUAAAGGGUGUGUAGACGGUAUAUUAAGUUCGUUGUUAAAUCUUUCGGCCCAACCGAAAGUUCGCGAUGAAAACUAAUGUGCUAGAGGGUGAAAGAGAGAAGUGGAAUUCUCGGAGUAGCGGUAAAAUGCGUAGAUCUCGAGAGGAACACCGAUGGCGAAGGCAGCUUCUUGGUUCACUCCUGACGUUGAAACACGAAAGCGUGGGUAGCAAACAGGAUUAGAUACCCUGGUAGUCCACGCCGUAAACAAUGAUCACUAGAUGUCAGCUUUGCUUUGCAGGGUUGGUAUCGAAGCUAACGCGUUAAGUGAUCCGCCUGGGAACUACGGUCGCAAGAUUAAAACUCAAAGGAAUUGACGGGGGUCCGCACAAGCGGUGAAACAUGUGGUUUAAUUCGACACUACGCGAGGAACCUUACCUGGGCUUGACAUGCAUUUGACAGUUGUGGAAACACAAUUUUCUAAACUUGUUUAGACAGAUGCACAGGUGCUGCAUGGCUGUCGUCAGCUCGUGUCGUGAGAUGUUUGGUUAAGUCCUCUAACGAGCGCAACCCCUGCUGCCAGUUGCUAUUCAUUUUCGGAUGAAGCACUCUGGCGGGACUGCCUGGGAAACCAGGAGGAAGGUGGGGAUGACGUCAAGUCAUCAUGGUCCUUAUGUCCAGGGCUACACACGUGUUACAAUGGCUAGAACAAAGGGGUGCAAUACCGCAAGGUGGAGCAAAUCCCAGAAACCUAGUCUAAGUUCGGAUUGGGGUCUGCAACUCGACCCCAUGAAGUUGAAAUCGCUAGUAAUCGUAUAUCAGCAACGAUACGGUGAAUGCGUUCUCGGACCUUGUACACACCGCCCGUCACACCACGAAAGCUGUUUGUACCCGAAGCUAUCUUAGCUAACCCUUACGGGAGGCGGAUGGUUAAGGUAUGGGUAGUGAUUGGGGUGAAGUCGUAACAAGGUAGUCGUAGGAGAACCUGCGGCUGGAUCACCUCCUU
rnacentral:rRNA from 1 species